CCCUUAGACGUUCUGGGCCGCACGCGCGCUACACUGACACAGGCAACGAGCUUUCCUUUACCGAAAGGUAUGGGUAAUCUUUUGAAACUGUGUCGUGCUGGGGAUAGAUCCUUGCAAUUUUUGAUCUUAAACGAGGAAUUCCCAGUAAGUGCGAGUCAUCAGCUCGCGUUGAUUACGUCCCUGCCCUUUGUACACACCGCCCGUCGCUACUACCGAUUGGGAAAAUUUUAGAGAGUCCUGGACUGAUGAUUGUUCGGCUUCACGGCCUUACUUUCGUCGGGAAAGAAUUCGAUAAUAUUUUUCUAGAGGAAGUAAAAGUCGUAACA
rnacentral:rRNA from 1 species